AAAUUGAUUCUAACAACAAUUAAACCCAGGAGAGACUCUCCUUGCGUCUGAAACAGUCCAGAAACGUCGUACAAUAAGUCACAACCAAAAGAAAGAGAUGCGUAAGUAUUAUCACAAAUACUUAGUGAGGCGAUCCUCCCAUCUACGAGCUAUACACACAAGCAAUUAAAAGGGUAUAAUCAUAAAUACAACAUAAACAAACCAGUCAUUGAACAAUUCACCCAAAAACACAUUCACCACACCUACAUAUCAUCACACAAAACAAAUCAUACAACCCAAUCGCUCAGAUAAGCUCAUGGUCACGCAUUCACCUUAACAAAUUGAUUCUAACAACAAUUAAACCCAUGAGAGACUCUCCUUGCGUCUGAAACAGUCCAGAAACAUUCUACAAUAAGUUACAACCAAAAAGCAACCUUGAAGCAUAUUGUACAUGAAAAUCAGAAAUAAACAGUCUCAAAGACGAAACCCUAACAUACAAACCAACCAUUAAUU
rnacentral:sRNA from 1 species